GGCUGUGGCGCGCGCGGGGGGAGUUGGGCCGGUUCGGCCCAAUUCGGCCGGCCGGUCCGUUUACCCCUUUUUUUUUUCUUUUAGACCUUUUCUUUUUCUGUUUUUCCCAUUUCUUUAAUAUAUUUUGAGUUUGAACUCCAAAUUGGUCCAAAAGAAUUCUAGAAAAUUUGUAAAAUCUUGUUCUACCAUGAUGCAACUUUUGGAAGUAGUUUCUCUUCAAAAUAAAAUAUAUAAAAAUACAUUCGCCCUAUAAAUGACUUUAGGGCUAUAUAUCUGUUUGAAGAAAAUACUUUUUCAACUCCAAUUAGUUAACCAAAAAUUAUGGGAUAGCUUAUAUAUGCAUUAAACCCUUUUUAUGCAUCAACCCUAUUGGUUUGAAAAUCCAAAGGUUACAGGGAUGUAAACAAAAUCUCUUAAAGCCUUUUGUGAUUCAAAAUUUGAACUCAAACAUGCAAUUGUGGCAUGAUGCUCAUGGAUGCAAUGCACAUGUAAAUGUUUGAAAUUUUGGGAUGUUACAGACCUAACCCCCUUAAGAUGAAUCUCGUCCUUGAGAUUCGGUGUGGCUAGCAAAGAGGUGUGGGUGGUCUUCUCGAAGAUCAUCUUCGCGUUCCCAAGUGGCUUCUUCUUCUGUGUGAUGGUCCCACUGAACUUUGCAAAACUUGAUGGUCUUGGAUCGGGUCUGUCUCUCAGCUGUAUCUACGAUCCUGACCGGUUUCUCCUCAUAGGUGAGGUCACCCUGUAACUGGACUUCCUCAAGUGGAAUCGUAUCCCUCAGGGGUGUGUCGGCCAUCUCGGGGUGACACUUCUUCAGUUGCGAUACAUGGAAGACAU
rnacentral:lncRNA from 1 species